rnacentral:rRNA from 1 species
CGGAACGUAUCCAUAAGUGGGGGACAACCUAGCGAAAGUUAGGCUAAUACCGCAUACGCUCGAGAGAGGAAAGUGGGGGAUCGCAAGACCUCACGCUUUAGGAGCGGCCGAUAUCAGAUUAGCUAGAUGGUGAGGUAAAGGCUUACCAUGGCGACGAUCUGUAGCUGGUCUGAGAGGAUGAUCAGCCACACUGGGACUGAGACACGGCCCAG